rnacentral:rRNA from 1 species
ACACUGGGACUGAGACACGGCCCAGACUCCUACGGGAGGCAGCAGUGAGGAAUCUUCCACAAUGGGCGAAAGCCUGAUGGAGCAACGCCGCGUGCAGGAUGAAGGCCUUCGGGUUGUAAACUGCUUUUAUAAGUGAGGAAUAUGACGGUAACUUAUGAAUAAGGAUCGGCUAACUACGUGCCAGCAGCCGCGGUCAUACGUAGGAUCCGAGCGUUAUCCGGAGUGACUGGGCGUAAAGAGUUGCGUAGGCGGUUUGUUAAGCGAAUAGUGAAACCUGGUGGCUCAACCAUACAGACUAUUAUUCGAACUGGUAAACUCGAGAGUGGUAGAGGUCACUGGAAUUUCUUGUGUAGGAGUGAAAUCCGUAGAUAUAAGAAGGAACACCGAUGGCGUAGGCAGGUGACUAGACCAUUUCUGACGCUAAGGCACGAAAGCGUGGGGAGCGAACCGGAUUAGAUACCCGGGUAGUCCACGCCGUAAACGAUGGAUACUAGCUGUUGGAGGUAUCGACCCCUUCAGUAGCGAAGCUAACGCGUUAAGUAUCCCGCCUGUGGAGUACGGCCGCAAGGCUAAAACAUAAAGGAAUUGACGGGGACCCGCACAAGCGGUGGAUCGUGUUCUUUAAUUCGAUGAUAAACGAAGAACCUUACCAGGGCUUGACAUCCAGGGAAGGUCUGCGAAAGUGGACUGUGCCUUUUGGAACCCUGUGACAGGUGCUGCAUGGCCGUCGUCAGCUCGUGUCGUGAGAUGUUUGGUUAAGUCCAUCAACGAGCGCAACCCUUGCAACUAGUUGGAUUUUUCUAGUUGGACUGCCCCGGUAACGGGGAGGAAGGAGGGGAUGAUGUCAGGUCAGUAUUGCCCUUACGUCCUGGGCUAGAAACACGAUACAAUGGCUAGUACAAUGCGCAGCGAAGCCGCAAGGUGGAGCAAAUCGCAUCAAAGCUAGUCUCAGUUCGGAUUGGAGGCUGAAACUCGCCUCCAUGAAGUCGGAAUCGCUAGUAAUCGCAGAUCAGCAAGCUGCGGUGAAUACGUUCCCGGGUCUUGUACACACCGCCCGUCAAACCAUGAAAGUGACCAACACCCGAAGUCCGAUUCGUCGGCCUAAGGUGGGGGGCAUGAUUGGGGUUAAGUCGUAACAAGGUAUCCGUACCGGAAGGUGCGGAUG